AAGAAAACAACUUAGCUUGAGGCCCGUCCAAGUUGAUUGGGUUCAUAACACAGUCACCGUAAGGAAACCCAUCAAGCUGCCAACCACCGUCUAGAAUAGAUCUAGUUUCCGUUUCCCCCUCUCUAUUUCUCCCUUCUUCACUCCAACCUGGAGCCACUCUCAACUCUCAAGCUUGAAAUCUCCUUGUCUCUGCCGUUGUGUGUCGUGCUGCGUUAUAUUGUGCCAACUGCCGGCUCCAAGAUACUUUUUGGCAAUUUCUUGAAGAGUUCUGGAGAUGAUAUAAUAAACAUCCACCGUGGCCUUUUGGCAUCAUUCAAAGGCUUUUGAAGCCGAGGUGAAAUCGAUCGGUGCAACAAGCCACUUUAUGACCGAAGAUCUUGAUGCAGGGCCUGUUAUUGAAAUGCACAAUCUUUUAUUUUAAAUUUUCUGAACUUGGUGCUCCAUACUGAUCUUCAACUGAUCAGAACAUCUUAAAUAUGAAUUUUCUUUUACCAUUAUUAUGUCAUUUCUGAUACCUGAUUUACACAGUUGAAAAGGCAUUGCAGUUUAUACAUGAAAGAGGAUUGCAGUUUAAACAAUCUGAUAAUAUUUAUUUAUGUAAAGAAUGAUGUUUAUAAACUUGACGGUUUUGGAUUUGCACCUCUCGGUGAUAAGGCUGAUGAUCAGUAGCGACUACAAGAAAGUAUGCCUUUUGGGGCCAAAUUAUAUAUAUAUAUCCAACCAAACAUAUAUACAAUCCUCACACAGCAUCUUUUUGAAAAGCAUAACAGCAGAUGUCUUGGAAUACAUCACACACAGAAACAUUUAUCAUGCAAAAAAUGCAGAUGAUUCUGCAGAAUGGAUCAUGAUCAGUAUCCUUUGAAACACAAUACCUGGUCGGCUUCUACAUAUUUGAUGGAUUAUAAUUUUGUUAGGACUUUACAAUCAGAAAAACUCGUAAACUUCAAGUUCUGAAAAUUCUGCAGAUCAGGAAAAAAAAAGAAAGAAAGAGAAAUUAGAUUCAAAGAAGUUCAAAACUAAAUUGAAAAGAAAACAAAAACAAACACUCUCAACCCAUCUCAACUCAAAACAAAAAUAUAUCAAUAAAUUUCAACAAAACCUCAUUGUUGAAAUUUUGUGCCUGCUAGAGACGAAUGAGCAAGAUGGAUACCACCAUUGGAAUUUUGUGCCAGCUUAGUCCAUCGUGGGUCUCGUGGUUGACUUUUAAAGAAGUGAG